CGCCGAAAUCGCUAGGAAGGUCUC
rnacentral:siRNA from 1 species